AGCGGAAGGCCCUUCGGGGUACUCGAGCGGCGAACGGGUGAGUAACACGUGAGCAACCUGCCCCAGGCUUUGGGAUAACCCCGGGAAACCGGGGCUAAUACCGAAUAUGACCUUGCACCGCAUGGUGUUUGGUGGAAAGUUUUUCGGCUUGGGAUGGGCUCGCGGCCUAUCAGCUUGUUGGUGGGGUGAUGGCCUACCAAGGCGACGACGGGUAGCCGGCCUGAGAGGGCGACCGGCCACACUGGGACUGAGACACGGCCCAGACUCCUACGGGAGGCAGCAGUGGGGAAUAUUGCACAAUGGGCGGAAGCCUGAUGCAGCGACGCCGCGUGAGGGAUGACGGCCUUCGGGUUGUAAACCUCUUUCAGCAGGGACGAAGCGUAAGUGACGGUACCUGCAGAAGAAGCGCCGGCCAACUACGUGCCAGCAGCCGCGGUAAGACGUAGGGCGCGAGCGUUGUCCGGAUUUAUUGGGCGUAAAGAGCUCGUAGGCGGCUUGUCGCGUCGACUGUGAAAACCCGCAGCUCAACUGCAGGCCUGCAGUCGAUACGGGCAGGCUAGAGUUCGGUAGGGGAGACUGGAAUUCCUGGUGUAGCGGUGAAAUGCGCAGAUAUCAGGAGGAACACCGGUGGCGAAGGCGGGUCUCUGGGCCGAUACUGACGCUGAGGAGCGAAAGCGUGGGGAGCGAACAGGAUUAGAUACCCUGGUAGUCCACGCUGUA
rnacentral:rRNA from 1 species